rnacentral:rRNA from 1 species
UACGUAGGGGGCUAGCGUUGUCCGGAUUUAUUGGGCGUAAAGAGCUCGUAGGUGGUUUGGUAAGUCGGAUGUGAAAUCUCCAGGCUCAACCUGGAGGGGUCAUUCGAUACUGCCAUGACUAGAGUUCGGUAGGGGAGUGUGGAAUUCCUGGUGGAGCGGUGAAAUGCGCAGAUAUCAGGAGGAACACCCGUAGCGAAGGCGGCACUCUGGGCCGAUACUGACACUGAGGAGCGAAAGCGUGGGGAGCGAACAGG